AUACUCCGUUCCAAACCCAGACCCCAUUUGGUCUCAGCAGGGCUAUCUUUUUCCUUGUUCUCCUCUUCCCAAGGAUCGGAGGGCACCUUACUUCCCCUAGCAGAGUGGAGGUGGAUGAAGGACAUAAAGGCAGGGGCAUUACAAUACACCUAGGAAAGUUCAGUUUUAUUCCUCAAAACAAUACUUUUCCGUGGGAAACAAGCCCUGUGGAGUUUCUGCCAUCAAGUCGUUUCAGUUUAACACACUCCUUUCUAGAGGAUAAGCACAUGAAGAAUUGAAACUGCAGGGGAACAUUUAUAAAAAGUAGAUCCUACAAGAUGAAAACUCAAGCUAUUUUAACAAAUAUUCCUUUGAAACAUCAAGAUAUCUCAAUACUUCAGAGAUAAAAGAUUUGGUCUAUUAAGGAAUUCGGCUGGAGAAGUAAACACUUCAGGUUACAGACAGUUAAUAGUAGGUUAUAUGUCUUACAACAAGCAUCUCAGUCGGUCAAAAUAAGCCAAGGUGAAACUAGAAAAAAGCAGUGCUGCCUCUGCUUUAGAGUCAAAAGCAUCACAAUAUCACUUAAACGUAGAAAGAAAUUUUAUCUUCCCCCUUCAGCAGUUAUCGUGCCAUACAGAGUUAAAUGCUAACAAAACAAAACAAAAAGACCCUGGAAAGUACAGCCUAUUCUCCAAGGAAAUGAAGGUGUUGAUCCUAACAGCACUGCCUGCCCGCUGAUCCCGGAGUCUGCUUCCUGGGAUCCAAGCCAUGACUCUUUCACUGGUAUCUAUGACCAUCACCACCACUACCAUUGUCCUAAAGCAUCCUAGGUGACAGAGAAAGGCUGCAAAGGAGAGAGGUUGCCCUACAGACUGGGAGGGGGGUGACCCUGUGGGCAGUGCAGAAAGUCCGGUCUGCUGAGGAGCUGGAGGAGUUGCCAAGUAGAGCAGAGGAGUCCUCCUCAAACCCUUGUCUGUAGUAAUUUCUGUGUGAGUUGGACUCAGUGACUGGAAUCUAAAGUGAAGCUUGGGUGUAUGAGCCAGACCAGCCCAUAGAAGAGUUUUGUUUGUUUGUUUUAGUUGAGAUAAGGUCACACUGUGUAGCCCAGGCUGGCCUCCAACCUGUGGCAAUCCUCCUGCCUCAGCCUCCCAAGUGCUGGGAUUGCAGGUGUGCAUCACCAUGCCUGGCUAGUGGUGUUCACAGUUUGUAUUGGACUCCUGGCUCAUGCAAACCAGGAUUUAGUCCAGGGCCUUGUUUGGAGCUUUGCUGGAGGAGGAAGUUUGUUCCUGGCCUCUGGUUUCUCAAGUCAAGUGAUGGUGUUGUGGGAAAGCAGGCUGGUCAUGUGCUUCUGUCAAUGAUAAUGGCUCCAACUGAACCCCACUAGCAUCAUUAGAGGGGUUACAAGGGACAAGCACUGUGUGUGUGUAUGUGUGUGUGUGUGUCUGUGAGUGAGAGAGAGAGAGAGAGAGAGA